GUCUUAUUGAUUAUAAUUUUAAGUCUAAUCUGCCCAAUGAGUAAUUAAAUGGCUGCAGUAUUUUAACUGUACAAAGGUAGCAUAAUAAUUAGUUUCUUAAUUAGGAACUGGAAUGAAUGAUUGGACGAAAUAGUGACUGUCUUAGUUUAAAUUUUAGAAUUUUAUUUUUAAGUUAAAAAGCUUAAAUUUUUUUAAAAGACGAGAAGACCCUAUAGAAUUUUAUAUUAUUUAUAUAUUUUAUUAUUAGGAAUUAAAAAUAAGAUUUUUUAAUAAAUAUUUAGUUGGGGUGAUUGAAAAAUUUAAUGAACUUUUUUUUAUUAUUAACAUUGAUUUAUGAUUAUAUGAUCCAGUAUUUCUGAUUAUAAGAUUAAAUUACCUUAGGGAUAACAGCGUAAUUUUUUUAGAGAGCUCUAAUCGAUAAAAGAGAUUGCGACCUCGAUGUUGGAUUAAAGUUUAUUUUUAAUGUAGGAGUUAAAAUAUUAGGUCUGUUCGACCUUUGAAACUUUACAUGAUCUGAGUUCAAACCGGCGUGAGCCAGGUUGGAUUCUAUCUUUAAUAAAAUUAAAUAUUUUAGUACGAAAGGACCAAAUAUUUAUUAUAAUAAUUUUAUUAGAA
rnacentral:rRNA from 1 species